rnacentral:rRNA from 1 species
AUGGAUUCAGAUUCUGCUGCUGCCUUCCAACAGGUGGGUCAUUCUGAUGCUGCUGUACAAGUUCAGAACAUGGAUAAGACAGAUGUGGUGGAAACGGACUUGGUUGUCAGCUCUCUGCUGAUCCCUGGUGUGUCGAUGCACGAGGAGAUGCCUCAUGCUGCUAAGAUGGCCAAAAUUGAGAGUGAGUCAGAGACUGUUGGCAAGGACAUGGACAUGCAGAUGAAGCAGCUGGUGCCUGCUGCUGCGGUUCGUCAGAAGGGUAAGCGUGCUAAGAUGCCCACUCCUCUGGUUACUACUGAACUAAGACGUGGUCUAAGAAGUGAUAAGGAGGGCUUUGAGGAGUUGCCUCUCGCCCCUGGAUGGCACUUCCCGUCGCAAAAAAUCUGCUAUACCUGA